AAAAGCAUGUGUCAUCCGGCUGAUUCUCUGUAAUAUCCUGGGUGAAUCAGACAUGUUCCAGCAUUUCUGCUAAAUGUCAUCUCAGAAGAGGGGCAGUCAGGCAAAGGAAAGAGCUAAAGCAUUGACAUGAUGAGGAGGAGAGAAGAGAAAGAAUUCAGAACAUGAAACACGUGGCAGGACCCACAGGUUAAAUGGUCGUUGUUCCAGGAGGUCUUCCACACGCACCUGUGUAGGGCAUGGAGGGAUGAAGGAAGAGCAAGACCCAUCCCCUGCUUAAGGAACUGAUGGUUUGGCGGGAGAGAAUGGCAAGAUGGUGAAAAUUUGUACAAUGCCACAGAUUAACGCUAACGACUCUGUAACAAAUGCUUCAUAAGGGAAUCGGAAUUGACUGCAGUCCUGGAACAUUGGAGGGCUGUACACAGGAGAGGAUAAAGAAUCUUGCUGUGAGGGUGGGACACAUAAGAAAAGCUCUUCAUCACUCCCUCAGCCCCAUAGAUGGCUGCCCCGGGUGGGGAGUAAGGGGAAAAGGCUGCCCCUAGGUGGAAUGCUGGAAAGGGCUAGUGGGCCACAGCAGGACCUCUGUCCUAGAGCCCAACACAUAAUGUGCAUGCCCCCAGCCAUGGUCCAGAGAUUCUGAGCAUCAGCAUGACAUGAUAUCCCUUUCUGCCCGCAUGGAUGUCAUCAAGGGACUGGCUGGAAGGUAGCAGAAGCCCAGGAACCUAGCACACAGAAGGAGAUAGUGACUCUGCCUCAUUUCUGUGUGGGGUUUCCCCCUCUUUUUCCCUCUUAAGAGGGCAAGUUGAACUUUGUGACUUGCUGCUCUGGGCUUACUCCAGGGACAAGAUAAGAAUCUUCCGUUUUUUAGAAAGCAGGCUCAUAGAAGAAAACAGCUGGAUUGUCACAAAAAAAUGGCAUCUAAACAAUGGAGGGAUCUGAAGUUGAAGGCAGGGUGAUUUCUGAGACCAGCGAAGGAUGUAGAGGUGGUGCUUCCACGUGACACCUCAAGAUGGUUAGGAACCCUGAGAGGGGCGGCGCAAGGAUGCUUGGAGACUGAUUCCAAACAUCAAGGUCAUGGCACCCGGAAAGAAGGACUUAUGAAGGCUGCCAGACGAUAGUGUACCCUGUGAGUACUCAGGAGCCCCUGCUUCCUGGCCUAGCAAUACCAUGUGGACUUGGACCAGGAGCAUCUCGGAGCUAACCACAAUGGACUGAGACCAACCAGGGCACUUCCUAGAAUGUAUGGAUGUCUUGAUCUCCCCACCCCAUGCCCAUGACUCUUGUAAAACCCUGUAAAAGAGGAGGGGCCCAGUAAAAGCUGAUAUCUGUAUCUAAACAAUCUUGCCAAGGGUAUUCCAAGCCUAACUUAGUUUGAUUAGGGAAAAAAAAUAACACAAGAGCUUUUGCUCCUGAACACUAAGGAACAGAUUCUGCUAUGUAGACAAAUAGAGCCUUGGAAGGAAAAAUGGAUUGUGAGAAUCUGGUGGGAGGUGGCGUUUUACAAGACUCACCAAGGAAAAAUUCUAUAGCCCGGUCCACUCUAGGGGAAAACCUACUACAUUUAAUUUCUUGGAGUUAAAAAUGUUGAAUCUCACCAAGUUUUUUAUAUAUAAAAACUUUUUUAAAUAGUUGUUUUACAUCUAACUAACAACAAUUGCUUUAUGAAAAGGUGACUUAUGAAACCAUAGGGUAUGGUGAAAGGAUACAAAAAACGAGAAUAAGA